CAAACUGUCUUAAACUUUAUUUGAUAGCAAAAAAUCCCUCUUAAACUUUUCUGACGUAUGCUAAUUUAGUGGAAAGCUAAUUUGCUUUGUGGAAGAGGCAGUGAAAAGAAAACACCAUGCUCGAAGAUAAAGCAAAUCACAGCCUUAGAAAACACUGGCUUAAAAGACUUUAAAAAAGGCUCAGUCUCUUAUUUCAUGAAACACAACAAGUUUUGUUUCAACCUUUUGUUCCAUACUUGAGUUGCUCCAGCCCAGAUAAUUCUUCUUCGACAUGUAGCGUUGUUAUUGCCACACCCUCUUCAGGGCACAGAACAAAAGCAGUGGAAAGUGCUGAGGGGACUGUGAGAACACUCUCCAACUGCAGAUCUCACGCUUCCUUUUGGAAUAAGGCUUCGGCAUGCUGCUGCUGAUCCUGUUUGCUGGAUGUUUGGCCUCGUGUGCCGCACAGACAAUAUCCUUUCCUUCCUCCUCUCCUGUCAUGGAGACUACCUUUACCCAGUCAACCCACCCAGCACCAGUCCUGACAACACCUGAUACAACAGACAAUGUUGUUGCUGUCCUGCUGAUGGCUGUUCAGUCUUACCGUGAGCUAAAUGAAACAACAGUUGGUCCAGUCCUUCUCGAG